GAGAGAUAUUAAAGAUCUCUAUAAAUAUAACUCCACAUAGCAUAUUAAAGAGUAAAAUGAAGAAGAAAAAAGAAAGAAAUCUAUUAACAGGAAUACAUAUAAACAACCUAUUUGAAACCAUUUCAAUCUACGUGCAAGGAAUGGGAUUUCCGUUUGUCGUCUGAAGUUUAUUCUUAUUGGAAAUUCCUGGAAAUUAUUUUCCUUUUGUAACGAGAAAAAAAAUUCUGCUGUUUAAAGCAAAUUUGAUAACACUUUAGAGCAUGUGGCAAUGUUGACCCAAAAGGUCAAACAGAAGUCUAAUUAAAAACACUGCAGAUGGGCACCAAAAAAACAUUUCGGGUUAAUUAUGUUGUUAAUUACAUUUUUUUUUUGAAAACUAUUUGAAAAUUAGAAGAAAUUUAAAGCCCUUUAAGUGAUUUAUAUUUAUUUGUUUAUUUAUUAUUCAUGUCUCUGUGCAUAGACGGUGAGAUAAAAUGUUAUAACCUCGGUUAGACAAGAGGUUAACCCUUUGGCGAAAGCAAUAGUUUCACUGUGGCAAGUUGAAUUGGAAUUGAAUAGGAACUUUCUUUCUUACAAUAAGAAUGAAUUUUUCCGAUUUAAUGUGAAUCUGUUUUAAUGUCCUAUUUAUCCGAAAAGGGUUAAUGGAUUCCAUUUUCUUUUUUAAAUCUUUUCUUAAAAUUUGUUACUUGUAAGAUUUUUUAUAUUCUGUGUCAAAAUUUUAUAACAACUUCUAAUUUAUAAGAAAAAAAAAGAUUUUUAACAAAAUCGACCUCAAUAUUUCAAAUAAAAAAUUAUCUUAUUUACCAUAAAAAAUAAAUUUUUUAGAGAAUGAAUUUUUAUUUAUUUUUUUUAUGUAUUUAUGUUCACAUAUUUUUUAACCUUAAGAUUUUUAUCUAAAUUAGCUGUAAAUUAGACAGGUAAAUUUUCCGAUUGCUUUUUUGGUACCUACACGUCGCGUAAAAAAAUCCCAACGUGUUAACAUGUAAUAAAAUAUAAUAAAACGUUUUGUUGAUUAUUAAUACAUUAAUUCUUCAAACAGAUAAAACCUUCCAUUGAGCACUAUUAUUAUAAUUUUAUUGUGACAAAAUUAAGCACAAUAAAAAUGAAUAAAAUGUAGAUAAAAAGAAUUUCUUUCAAUUCAGCAUGAUCAAUAAAGUUCUAAGAAUAUGAACCAAUAAACUACCUACAUUACCUACUUAUUUUUCAUUAUCACCCUCUAGCAAUGUGGAUGAUUGUUGAUCGAUUAAAAUGCAAUUAUUUUCUCAUUAGGUUGUGUGUAUUUGAUACCUCAUAAAUUUCCGGUAUAAAAUAAGAUUUAUAUAGAGUAUAAAGGUAAAAUAUAAAUAGAGAAUAAGAAAUAACUUCUUUUUUCUGACAAAAUUGAAUUUCUUAUAGUGAAAUUCAAACAUGGUAUGAAAUGAAGAAAAAUUAAGAAACAUUCAAAUUGGAUUACAAACUGUGUAAGGGCAGGUUUGCAUGGGGAGGUGAAAUAUAAGGAGAAAAUCUCACACGGAAUAAAUUACCUAUUAGACUUCACUAUAUGUAAUUUUUUACAUAGAUACCUACCUACCUAUAUAAAGGCAUUAAGGGGAAAAGUAGUAUAGAUGAGAAAUUUUGUUGUGAGUCAGCGCAGUGAAUUCCUAUUGAUUUUUGUAUCUUCCUGCAGUUUCUUGCACCUUUUGGCAAAUUAUUAAAAAUAAAAAUGUGAAAUGUGACACACCAAAUUGGCAAAUUUUGCACAUACAUUAAAAAAAUUAAAUCCAAACGCUGCAGAAAAAUAUUAAAUUGCUGAAUAUUAUUGUGAAGAAAAAAAGUUUAGGAGUUUGUGUGUGAUUUGUGUUUUGCCUCGGCAAGAGGAAAAACUUGGAUUAAAUUGAACUUUUCAUUCAAGGAGAAAAUUCUAGAGAGGCAUCUCCUGGUUCUCGCCUGAUGCACCGUCAGCUCUUACGAGCAGUACUGUAGGGAACAGUGGUACACCCAAGGAUGAAAUUUACAUCGAUGAUGAGAGUCUCGAAGGAUCUGGUGGACGAGGAGAGAUAAGAGACGAUUUAGAGAAGGAACCCGAUUAUUCUGGAUCUGGUCUUGGGCCGGACGAUGAGGAUUCAACAACAAAUCGCCACCAGACACAAUUGAAUACAAAUAGGAAUAAUAAAGAUAGAGGACGUGGUGGUUCGUCUCUGGAUGCGGAAAAUGGAUCAGGUGAUGGGGAUGAUGAUGAUGAUGAUGUUGAUGUGGAAUUCGAUAGACAUGAGGAGAAGAAACCCAAACCACUCUACCCCAACACAAGUGACGACGAAGACAUUGACAUUGAUGACCCAAGGACAAACAGAAAGGAUAAAGUGAAUACACAUCAUUCGGUUGAAUCUGAAAUUGAUCUUCAGGAGAUCGAUCACAAUCACAGUACUGAUCCUCCACACUCGAGUAGUGAAAGCAAUAACGAGGUAUUCAUCAUGAAUACAAAGGCGGAAGAUAGGACAGCGUCCUUCUUUGCCCAACCAGGAAUACUAGCAGCUGUUAUUGGAGGAGCUGUCGUGGGACUUCUAUGUGCAAUUCUCGUAGUAAUGUUCAUUGUUUAUCGAAUGAGGAAAAAAGAUGAAGGUUCUUAUGCCCUCGAUGAGCCAAAGAGAUCGCCCGCAGUGAACUCUUAUGCUAAAAAUUCCAAUAAUCGCGAAUUCUAUGCAUGAGACUACUAAAAAAAACAAUCCCAUCUUCUCCUCCUUUUCCCCUAUUUCCCUUCUAUUUUGAAGGGAAAAAGAACAUUUUUUUGAAUGUGAAAAUAUAAUUCAGUUUAAUCCUAAAAAAAAGAAGGAAAAUCAGCAAAUUUACGAUUAAAUCUGAAUUUUGAGAGAACUCGCGUGUAGGGUAAGAAAAAAAAUAUUGUGGCGAAAGGAAAGUAAUAAGAAAAAAAAUAUACCGAUUUAUGGAGCUUAUUAAAUUUUUUCAAUUUUAUUGUACACACAUUUAUAUACAAAAAAAAACAAAACAUAUUAUACAAAAUGUUUUCUUUUCUUCGUUUUCUAUUAACAAUAUACAAUGAUUAACAUAUUUUUAUAUAUGAAAAGAAAAAAAUCAUGUCCAGCCAUUUUUUUUGUGUCAAUAUUGUGAGAAAAAGUUUUUUUUUAUUUUGAUAAAUUUGUAAAGAAAAAAAAACUAUUGAAUGGUGUCUAUUUGCUGGCUCUCCAAGAAAGGAUGGGAUAGUUUCCUAAAUACAUUAUACUAUUUUUCUUUUAAUAUUCUUUGUUAAAUAAAUUUAAAAAAAAAAUUGUCAUACUCGAGCUCAGUGGCUGGAAGAACCAUAAAAACCUUCUGGAUUUAUAUAAAAAAAAACAAUCUACACUGUUUUUCAUUGAGCAACAAGAAAAUCCUCUUGAGCACAGGAUUAAAUCACCUUUAAGACAACAAAGAGAAGAAAAAAACUCAAUCACUUCAAGGCACCUGUCUACGAGAUAAUCUCAUGCAACUCUAUAACCACUUUCGAUCCUACGAUAAAUUGUAGAAUUUGUUUUAAUUGUACAAUUGCAAAAGAAAAAAAUCUAUUCAGUUUAUCCUGCAAAGAAAAGGAUAACUAGAGGGAAAAUAAAUGAAAAAAAAAUAAAGAUAGUGGGGCAAUUUUUACUUUAAAUGUGUCCAAGGACCAAAAUGUCCUUAAAAACAUAACUUUCUUGCGGUAGGAAUUACUCAGAAAAAAAAACUGACUGGUAAAAUGCUUCUAUGGACAAAAAGAUUUAUGAAAAAAAAUUAUAUACAAUAACAAAAAAUAUCGCAAUGUUUGUAAAUUAGAAAAUAAAGAAUAAGUUAUAUUUAUAUUGUAUAGUAAUUGUACAAUAGGAACACAAUUCACGCACAUGCUUCGAAUAUUCUUUUGUUAAAUUCUUCAUUUUCUUGUUUAUUUUUAAACAAUGAAACUGUUGCUUCAAGCUCCUGGCAGGAUUCUUUAUUUUUUUUUUUGCAAAAUUAAAUGUAAAAGAAUGUUUUAUGGAAGGAAAGUAGUUCAGAUUUAAAGAAAAAAAUAAAGUCAUCGAUUAAUUCGGAAAAUUUUAUCAAAGAAGAAAAAUAUUAGAAAAGAAAAUUUAAUAAAUUCUAAGAAAAAGGGAAUAUUCUAAUUGUUUUUUUUUAAUAAAUAAAUUGUCAUUGAUGUUUGGUGUUGUGUAUGCUCACCCACAUACUUCAUAAAUGACAAUCGUAAAAAAAGAAUAGAUUUUAUAUUUAAAAAAAAAAUCUCUUGAAAACAGCGAAAUUUUGGCUCCAGCUAGACUAACUUAUUUUGCCAUUAAUGGGCUCUGAUGAACCCAUUAAAACCUAUUGGGACUGAGUUUUAUUUAAGAAACAUUUUUAUUUUUCAAAAAGAAAUUAUUAGAAAAUUGUUUUAAAUACUUUAUUUUAUUGCUUGGGGCCACGAACUUUUCUUUCAACUUCGGUCUCUUUGAAGAAGACAAACAGAAGCAUAACUCCAAAACUAAUUAAUUUACAAAUGAAUGAAUGAAAAACGAGAUCUUACUUUAAAGAAUUAUUUACAGCAAGAGAAUCUCAGAAGAAAUAGAGGAAAUGUUUAAUGUUUCAAAAGCUUAGACAGUUUAACGAAAUUUUGGAGUUAUGUGCAGGAGCAUUAAAAGGAAUUAUUCCAAAAUCUUUAUGGUAGCUAUUUCGUUUAAAAUAAUUCUAUUUUCAAUCAUCGUCACAUCAAGAUAUUUUUAAAAACUCAUUUAUUGAAAAUUUCUAUAAACAUUGUAAAUUUUACUUUUUUUAUAUAAAUAAACUUCCCAGUAAUAAAUUCUACGUAUAACGGGGAUAACUCUUUCAUAAUUUUAUAUACAAGAAAAAUUAAAUUAAAAAAAAAGAAAUCUAGAAUGAAUAAAUAAGGAAAAAAAUGAAAGAUAUAGGAAGAAAAAGUAGUAGAGAUAAAUCUAUUGAGAAUAAAAAAAUAAAUAAGGGAAAGAAAAAGAAAUAUAUAAGUAAAGAAAAAAAUAUUUGAGCUUAGAGAGGAAACUAUUAUUUUUUGAUUUAUUAAUAAAACUAAUAUUUUUUUUUAUUUAUAAUGUACGCUCACACCCCUACAUUACAUAUAACAUGACAUAGGUAACCCCUAUUGCAUCGUAGAGUCUAACAUUGAUUUAUAUAAACAAAAUAUAUAUUUUAUUUUAUUAAAUAGAAUUUAGAAUUUGUGCCAUGUUUUAUACUGCUCCUAGUUAUAGAAAGAAAUCAAAAAAAAAAUCUAUAUCUAUGCCUUGACCCUUGAAAAUGAAGCAAAAGGAGUCAGAUUGUCCUUAAAAGAAAUUCAAUAAAAUAAUACAUAGUCAUGGCAGCAAAGGUCCUAAGUCUACCUAGAGAAAAAAACGAGUUCUUUGUUGAUACUCAAUAUUAUUGAAGAAGAAAAAGCAAGAAAAAUUGCAAAAACAAUUUAAUAAAAAAAAAAUACGAAAAAUAGAGUAUAAUUGCUAAAGAAAAAAAAAGUGGAUACUUAUGAUUUCAGAACCUUUUCUAAACAAUUUAUGUUUCUCCGCGUUCUUUUUAUUAUUAUUUAUAUAGAAAUCUUCAAUAUCACCUUCCAUAAAAAUUAUUUAGAAAAGAAAAAUGAAAUUUAGAAGUAAAUGAAAAAAGCAUAAUACAUAUUAAUAAACGUACUAAAUAAUCUGGAUAGAUAUAGAUAUUUAAGAACUGUAUUGUGGGGACAAAAUCAGAUGUAAAUAAAGAUUCUGUCAAAAAGAAAAAAA